AUUCAUAAAGGCAGGAGGGUUUGCCAACUAAUUUUAACCAUCGAUGUUAAUGUGUACAUUAUACAAAUUGUUAUUCAAAUUAUUAAUUUGUCCUUGAUAGGUGUCUGAAGUGUGGGAACUUAUCUUACUGGACCUCUUCCUAAAACUUCAAGUGGCUUCCAGUAUAUACUUACUGCAACUGACUACUUUUCAAAAUGGGUUGAAGCUUUCCCAUUAAAAACGAAAUCUGCAUCUGAGGUAGCCCAGCACUUGUGCUCCAUUAUAUAUAGACAUGGCUGCCCCAAAAGGAUUUUGUCAGACCAAGGCAGAGAGUUUGUGAAUGAACUCAACUCUGAUCUUUGCAAGUUAUUGCAAAUUGAAAGAAGUGUCACAGCAGCAUACCAUCCACAGACCAAUGGUCUAGAUGAAAAGACCAAUGACAACAUAAAAAGAGCCCUCCAAAAACUGGUGAAUGACCAGCAGAAUAACUGGGAUCUGUAUCUAGAUCCCACCCUGUUUUCACUGCGGUCAAAAGUACACACCACAACAAAAUACUCACCUUUUUUUCUGAUGUAUGGAAGAGAGGCAGUAUUUCCAUCAGAAGUGCCUGCUCAAGUGCCGGUGAGUGUUUGUCAAAUUCUUUCUAUGUUAGAACUAAGAAUUGAAACCA